GGAACCCUAACCCUAGGGCUUCUUCUAUAAAUAGCAGCCCUCUCUCCUUGCACAUGGUUAUUUUGCACUCCCACCCCUCAAAAAUUUCCAGCCGCCACAGCUUUUCCCUGCCUUUCUUCUUCACGGCAGCAACAGCCAUCACGGAGCCGUGCUCCUCCCAUGGCGGCUCCUCUCCUCUAGGCAUCGCCUCUCCCAGCCAGCGCAUGUUCAUCUUCCUCCCCACCGCUCCUUCCCUGGUGCAGGCGCAGGGAGCAGUUCCCAUGGCCGAGCUCCAUUCCAGCAGGGACGCUCAGGACCCGACGCCCCUGUGUACGCUCCCUCCAUGGCUCCCUGUUCCUCAGCUCCAUGGGCGCGAGCCCCUUCUUCUACCUCUGGCCGGCGGCGAGUAGCAGCCCCACCUCCCUGCGCCCUUCUCCCCCAUGGGCUGCUUAUCCAGCUCGUCCCUCUCCUCCCCUCUAUUUUCCUGUGCGUGCGCAGAGGCUCCUCCAUGGCCGUCGGCCCCCUGCAGCUUCCCAAGCGCCCCCUCUCUCCCAUGGCUGGGCAGCAGCUCUGCUCGCCCCCUCCCAUGGCGCCUCCACCUCCCUGCGUGCCCUCUGCCCUUCUUCCUCCCCUGGCCGAGCUACUACGCAAAGCAGCGGCAGCAGCUUCCUUGGACGGCGCCCAGAAAUUCCAGCAGAGCUCGCCCCAUUUUUUUUCCUCCCUGGCCGAAGGUUCCCCCUGCUGCUAGCUCGGCAACCAUGGCGAGCAGCCCCGGCAGCGAGCUCCUCCCUUGCUUUGCUGUCGGACGUCCCUGCCACUACCUCACUCCCUCGUCGCGCAGCGAACUCCAUCGCCAACCUGCGCAGCAAGCUGCGCGCUGCAGCAGCAGCCAUGAGAUCCCGUCCGUGUCGCCAGCGUCGACCCGAUUUGCGCAGCGGUGCCGGUCCACCGCAGC
rnacentral:misc_RNA from 1 species